UAGAACUGGAAAAAACUACUG
rnacentral:piRNA from 1 species